rnacentral:rRNA from 1 species
AGAGACAGCAGCCGCCGCGGGAAUACGGAGGGUGCAAGCGUUAAUCGGAAUUACUGGGCGUAAAGCGCACGCAGGCGGUCUGACAAGUCAGAUGUGAAAUCCCCGGGCUUAACCUGGGAACUGCAUUUGAAACUGUCAGGCUGGAGUCUUGUAGAGGGGGGUGGAAUUCCAGGUGUAGCGGUGAAAUGCGUAGAGAUCUGGAGGAAUACCGGUGGCGAAGGCGGCCCCCUGGACAAAGACUGACGCUCAGGUGCGAAAGCGUGGGGAGCAAACAGGAUUAGAUACCCGAGUAGUCCCUGUCUCUUAUAC